rnacentral:misc_RNA from 1 species
UUGUUGUUGACUGCCCCUCUGCCUACAACAUCAUCCUUGGCCGCACUGCCCUAAAUGCUUUCCAAGCUAUCACAUCCACUUACCACCUUGCCAUCAAGUUCUCCACCGAUCUUGGGGUCGGAACAGUGAGGGGAGAGCAGACCGUGGCCAGAGAAUGUUAUGUCACCUCACUUAAAGAAGUCAAGUUGAAGGAGGUUAUGAUCAUUGAACGACUCGAUGUCAGAGAUGAGGACGAGCUGGUCAGAGGAGAACCAGUGGAGGAGCUCGUCAAGGUCCUCGUCGACCCUACCAACCCGGCCAAAACUGCCAAGAUCGGCAGCCAAUUAUCCCCCCAAGCCAAGGCCGACCUCACCGCCCUCCUAGUUGAACACAACGACGUGUUUGCCUGGACUCACUUCGA